GGACACUGCUAGUAUAUCAAUGUAUUAUAAAAGUGUAUUAAUGUGGUAUAAGAGAGUAUCAAUUUGGUAUAGGGACUGCACGUGCUUGCAUAAAAUUUCCCUUCUCUUUUUUAAAAAGUGUAUCAAUAUAGUAUAAAAGUGUAUCAAUUUGGUAUAAAAGUGUAUCAAUUGAGUAUGGAGACUGUAUGUGCCCAAUUGGGCCAAAUGGCUAAAAAAAGGAAUCAAUUAGCCGACUGGCUACACCAUGUCCACCUUUUCAAAUGUGGGUUUUUUAAAAAUGGAUAGCCCGUGUCCUUUCCCCCAAAAUAAAUGUCAUGAAAAAAAAUGCUUAAUUUUUGAAAGAAUUGUUUUAAGGAGAAAGUCGAAGGAACCAAUUUAAUCCGUUUUAGAUAAUAUAAAUUAGGUGAAAAAAAUUAUGAAUUAAGUAAAAGAAAAUUAAAAUAAAAUAAAAUGACAACACCUUAGAAAAUUUACCUAGAUUAAUUGAUUAAAAUGUUAGUUAAUACAAAUAAAUAAAAAUAAAUUAUAAACUACAAAAAAUGAAGUAUAAAUAACAUAAUACCAACAUUUUAAAAGUAGUUACACUCUCUCUCACUUUUUUAAUUACUUUAUUCUCUCUCCCUAUUAAUAUACAUAACAUAGCCGACAUAUACAUAGCAUUCUAUUUAUAUGUAGUAUUUUUGUAAUAUAUUUAGGGAGUUGGAAUUUUUUGUAAUAUUGAAAACAUAUGUGUAUUUGUGUAAUUUUUUGAAUACAAAUAUUUAAAUUGGGCCCUUAAUUAGCCCAUCAAUAAAGCUGUUCAGUUUUGGGGCUUUGAAUUAUGGACUUUGGGUCUUCUUUCUGCCGUGUAUACUAUGUGUAUAUCAGUCCGAUUUUUCUGCAUUUUCCUGUACAUCACCACGUAUACACUGUAUAUCAGUGUAGAAAUCAGCAUAUUCCCUCUCCACCUUUUAUUAUACACCGUAUGAUAGCGUGCAACUGCUGCUUUUGAUGUAUAUGCAAUGUAUAUCACCACAGAUCAGUGUAUACCAGCUUGUGUAACAGUGUUAUCUCGGGCAAAUCAGUCCAUUUUUAGACUUUAAGGAAUCUUGACUCGAUGGAGGUUGGUGUUAACCCCACGGAAUGCGAGAGACGGGAGUCCGAUGGACUCUAUGAAAGAGUUCAUGCAUAGAAAGUAAAUAAAAGGAUUAGCUAAUUUAAAAAGAAAAUAUUUGAUAUUACGUAAACAAUUUCAACAUAACAUAGUUAUUCACAGAUACUAACACACGUGAACAAAGGAAUAUAUAAUUCACCUUCCAAGGCACAAUCACCCGUGCAACAUAUCAACACUCAUUAAUUGGAAACAAAAGACCUUCAAGAAGACUGCAGCUAGUUUAAAAUGAUGAACAAGAAUUGAAUUUCAAUUUUCCAACUUCUUCCUAAAGUGUGUAAUUUUGGGAAACCCAUACUCUCCCUAAACUCACGAUUUUGAACCGAGAUAGAGAAGGAGAGAAAAAAAAUGAAACAAGGCAAUUAAUCUAUUCAGACUCGAGAGAACACAAAUAAGACCAUGCCAAGGGACCUGAAAUGCUGAACUCGUGCUUUUAAAAAGACCGAUCAUAGCAACAGAAUAUACAUACACAGAAAUAUAUAAAUUACCAUAUCAGUUGGAUUACGUAGCAAACUUGAAAAUUCAAGCGAGAUACAGUCACAAAUGAUGACUCAACCAUUUCUAAACGAUUGUUACCUCGAAGCUACUCUAACAAAAGUGAAAAGAAAAAGGUUUGAAGAUUAGUUAGAACUCAUGGAUAACACUUCAGUCAAAGCUUCCACUAAGGCUUAAAAGACAAGUAACAGACUUCACAUAUUUUCCUGCCAAAUCCAAAUUGUAGACUUUAUCCUUGCACAAAAUAGAGAAAAAAAAAAAUCCUAUCUUUAAUUGUUUCAAAUUGUUAAACGCUUGUAUUAUUCAAGUGUGAAACAUCAACAGCAACAAUCAUACAAAACCAUCAAAAGUUACGGUUUUCAACAUCCCGUCAAAACAUUGGGCUCAACUUAUCGAAACGACAUUAAAUGCACAUAUUUUGGACAGAACGAUAUCAAAUGCACAUAUGCGUAGCUCAUUACGUCUAACAAGGAAUUGAAGUAGCGACACCAAUUCAUUUAACAAAUACUAAUUUUGAUGAAAAAUGAUGUAGAAAGGGUAAAGUUCGUACCUUUUGUGGGGCAACGAACAUGGGACAACGAGCUUAGCACGAUGAAACUUCCACCACAGGAGAUUAUGUUUGUUUCAUCCCGAGAUUAUGAUUCCAACUUGUCGGAGUUCAACUUUUCGUCGAAAUUGAGUUUUCGAACUCUUCAAGAAUUUUGGUUGCGUGAGGUUAGAAGCAUGCGCCUCCCGAACCUUUAAGUUUUUCCCCAAAAUCCCCGUUCCUCCCCCUCUAUCCCUCAAUGGGUAUUUAUAGGGGAUUUUCGAAAUGAUUUUUGGGGAAAAACAAAUGAGAAAUUGAGGACGAAAAAUUUGAAAUUCAAACACAAAUUAAUCAUGACCAUCCAUGAUCCACGUACGUACGAAAUCAAGUCUGACCGAACAGCUUUGAGCAAAAUCCGGAUUAACCCGUUGGGUAUGAGCUGUUGUUGUUGACUUGUUCGUUGCUUUACUAUUGUUAUUGUCGCGUUGGUUGCUGUUGCUGAUAUGGGUUGCUGUAGUUGUUGAUAACGUUGUCGGCUGGGUUGUUGUUCGAUGAUGUUACUGUGUUAUUGAUGAGUCGGGUUUGCCGUUGUCGUUGAUGGGUAGGAGUUGUACGCUGCCUCUAUUGAAACUAGAUAUAAGUAUGAGGUGCUUAGCAUAGCUCUAAUAUAAAGAAUUUUAAAAUAACUUUAGUAUUUUGAGGUGUAAACAUGGAAUCGAAUUAAAAUUAUUUAUUUGAUAAUUUUUUUGACAUCAAUAAAU
rnacentral:lncRNA from 1 species